CCUACGGGAGGCAGCAGUAGGGAAUAUUGCUCAAUGGGCGCAACCCUGAAGCAGCAACGCCGCGUGGAGGAUGACGGUUUUCGGAUUGUAAAAUCCUUUUUAUAGAGAAGUUAAUUACGGUAUCUAACCAAUAAUCACCGGCUAACUCCGUUCCAGCAGCCGCGGUAAUACGGAGGGUGCAAGCGUUACUCGGAUUCACUGGGCGUAAAGCGAGCGUAGGCGGGAUAGCAAGUCAGAUGUGAAAUCCUAUGGCUCAACCAUAGAACUGCAUUUGAAACUGUUAUUCUAGAGUAUGGGAGAGGUAGGUGGAAUUCGUGGUGUAGGGGUAAAAUCCGUAGAGAUCAAGAGGAAGACUGAUUGCGAAGGCGACCUGCUAGAACGUAACUGACGCUGAUGCGCGAAAGCGUGGGGAGCAAACAGGAUUAGAUACCCUAGUAGUC
rnacentral:rRNA from 1 species